rnacentral:lncRNA from 1 species
GAUUGUAGAUUAUAGAAAAUCCCAUCCGAGGCACAAGCUUGAACAUUAAAAGGAAUUUAUUGGGUUUGUCUGCUGAGCUAAGUGGGGGACAUGACCUCUGUAAAAUGCCUUGUCAUUCAUUGAGGGGCACUAGUCUAUUGUAUGUGGUUUUUGAGUUCCCCUUGCAGAGCUGUGGCUUGGUGAUAUGCCACACAGAACAAACAUAAUUCUCGGUAUAUGAAUGAAACUGUCUAGGGUGGGAGAAUGGGCAGCUCGGCUGGUAAGGAUGAAACCCACCCCAGGAGACCAUCUUUGCCAUUUCUCUGCCAGGCUCAAUGGCCUGAGGACCUGCCCAAUGCCUGUGAGACCCAGUGCUUGCAUCUUGCCAGGUCUUGGAGCUGAGAAGUGGAAAUUUUGUGGCUUUGUCCUCUCUCACAGGGAAAACCAGGCCAAGGUGGCCCAGGUUCUUUUUAUAACAGGGUAAGUACUAUGUACUUUAGAUGGUGUUGUCACCUUUUCAGUAAUUUCCAUCAACUGCUUACCACCGCUCCGUAUUUGCACUUACUUCUACCUAAAAGAAGGAAUGAGGAAAUUGAAAGGGCCAUUUGCUGAACCCACUGUUUUUGGUGAUGGCACAAGAUGAGUGAACCAGACAGUUUUUGCCCUGAAAAACCUUGCUGCAUGUCUAUGUUAAUAAGGUGAGAAUCUCAUCUGUAUGGAUCCAUUUGGAAUAUGUGCAGGGGUAAUGUGUGCUUGGUAGUAGGAUGCACCAGGGAGGACAGGGUAGGGACUGGGAAGGGCAGGUCAGGGCUGGGAACCAGCUCAGCUAGAAGGUUCACCUCGAAGGGAGUAGCCAUCCCUUCAGAUUGCGAGGCUCAGAGGUUUGUGGGCAGUCCUGGAAUCAUCCAUUUGGAAUACAGAAUGAUGUUGGGCUGAGACUUUGGUUCUUGGGUCCAGUCUGUUGGUCAAGGCCCUGGGGACCGGAAGCCCUAUCAUGUGGAUAUUGUGAAUACUGGGAUUUUUAGAAGGUCUUACCCUGGGCUCACAUGCUGCUGUUCUGUGAAUAGUUCAUCUGGUUUCAGGCUUCACUUGCUGAUGAAUAGAGGGCAGUGUUGCAAAUAUGGGGCCUGUCCAAGUGUAUAUUGGUUUGGAAGAAUCUGGGGUUUGGUCCAUAGUUUCAGAGCCUCCAGAACUCCUGUUUAAAUAAUGUGGUAAGGCAAACACCAUGAGGACUACUGUGUACAACUGUACUUUCUGCUCUGCAUGAAGCCCAAGGGUGGGUGGGGGCUGAACUCCAGCUAGUAUGUUCUGUACCCAAGUCAUACUCCUAGGGACUGGUGUAGGUCUA